rnacentral:lncRNA from 10 species
UUUUUGUAUUUUUAGUAAAGACGGGGUUUCACCGUGUUAGCCAAGACGGUCUCAAUCUCCUGACCUCGUGAUCCUCCCACCUCUGUCUCCCAAAGUGCUGGAAUUACAGAUGUGAGCCACUGCGCCCAGCCUGGUUUGGUAGUUUCUUAAAAGUGAAAAUUAGACCUACCAUGUGACCCAGCCAUUCCACUACUAGGUGUCUACCCAAGAAAAAUAAAAGCAUGUUUCCACACAAAGACUUGUAUACAAAUAUUCAUAGCAACUUUAUUUGGAAUAGCAAAAAAAAGGGAAAACAACCCAAACAGCCAUCAGCAGGUGAAUGGAUAAACACAUGGUGGAUAUCCAUACAAUGAAACACUGCUCAGCUGUGAAAAAGGAACAAACUAUUGAAACAAUAUCCCUGUUCAGGAGCAGGAUUUGGAGAAUAUAAGAAGCAUAUCUUUUAUAAUUUAAAAACUUGCUUUCUAAGAUUUGAACUGAAAGAUCUUUUUUGAAGAUGAGUGUCAUGGAAUUGACAUGAUUUGAAGUGUUAUGGCACUUCCUUUGAAUAAAAAAAUCAAAGUUGCUAACAAGUUCCAUGUACUUAAAAAUAUUGGGACAGAGCGCUCAAAGCUAUGAAAAGUUUUGGGCCACCCAUGAAUAUGAGAUAAGAUUAAC